UUCUGAGACACGGCCCAAACUCCUACGGGAGGCAGCAGUAGGGAAUCUUCCACAAUGGACGAAAGUCUGAUGGAGCAACGCCGCGUGAGUGAAGAAGGGUUUCGGCUCGUAAAACUCUGUUGUUAAAGAAGAACAUAUCUGAGAGUAACUGUUCAGGUAUUGACGGUAUUUAACCAGAAAGCCACGGCUAACUACGUGCCAGCAGCCGCGGUAAUACGUAGGUGGCAAGCGUUGUCCGGAUUUAUUGGGCGUAAAGCGAGUGCAGGCGGUUUUUUAAGUCUGAUGUGAAAGCCUUCGGCUCAACCGAAGAAGUGCAUCGGAAACUGGGAAACUUGAGUGCAGAAGAGGACAGUGGAACUCCAUGUGUAGCGGUGAAAUGCGUAGAUAUAUGGAAGAACACCAGUGGCGAAGGCGGCUGUCUGGUCUGUAACUGACGCUGAGGCUCGAAAGUAUGGGUAGCAAACAGGAUUAGAUACCCUGGUAGUCCAUACCGUAAACGAUGAAUGCUAAGUGUUGGAGGGUUUCCGCCCUUCAGUGCUGCAGCUAACGCAUUAAGCAUUCCGCCUGGGGAGUACGGCCGCAAGGCUGAAACUCAAAGGAAUUGACGGGGGCCCGCACAAGCGGUGGAGCAUGUGGUUUAAUUCGAAGCUACGCGAAGAACCUUACCAGGUCUUGACAUACUAUGCAAAUCUAAGAGAUUAGACGUUCCCUUCGGGGACAUGGAUACAGGUGGUGCAUGGUUGUCGUCAGCUCGUGUCGUGAGAUGUUGGGUUAAGUCCCGCAACGAGCGCAACCCUUAUUAUCAGUUGCCAGCAUUAAGUUGGGCACUCUGGUGAGACUGCCGGUGACAAACCGGAGGAAGGUGGGGAUGACGUCAAAUCAUCAUGCCCCUUAUGACCUGGGCUACACACGUGCUACAAUGGAUGGUACAACGAGUUGCGAACUCGCGAGAGUAAGCUAAUCUCUUAAAGCCAUUCUCAGUUCGGAUUGUAGGCUGCAACUCGCCUACAUGAAGUCGGAAUCGCUAGUAAUCGCGGAUCAGCAUGCCGCGGUGAAUACGUUCCCGGGCCUUGUACACACCGCCCGUCACACCAUGAGAGUUUGUAACACCCAAAGUCGGUGGGGUAACCUUUUAGGAACCAGCCGCCUAAGGUGGGACAGAUGAUUAGGGUG
rnacentral:rRNA from 1 species